rnacentral:rRNA from 1 species
GAUGAACGCUGGCGGCGUGCCUAAUACAUGCAAGUCGAGCGAACAGAUGAGGAGCUUGCUCCUCUGACGUUAGCGGCGGACGGGUGAGUAACACGUGGAUAACCUACCUAUAAGACUGGGAUAACUUCGGGAAACCGGAGCUAAUACCGGAUAAUAUAUUGAACCGCAUGGUUCAAUAGUGAAAGACGGUUUUGCUGUCACUUAUAGAUGGAUCCGCGCCGCAUUAGCUAGUUGGUAAGGUAACGGCUUACCAAGGCAACGAUGCGUAGCCGACCUGAGAGGGUGAUCGGCCACACUGGGACUGAGACACGGUCCAGACUCCUACGGGAGGCAGCAGUAGGGAAUCUGCCGCAAUGGGCGAAAGCCUGACGGAGCAACGCCGCGUGAGUGAUGAAGGUCUUCGGAUCGUAAAACUCUGUUAUUAGGGAAGAACAAAUGUGUAAGUAACUAUGCACGUCUUGACGGUACCUAAUCAGAAAGCCACGGCUAACUACGUG